rnacentral:rRNA from 1 species
UUAGAGUUUGAUCAUGGCUCAGGACGAACGCUGGCGGCGUGCCUAAUACAUGCAAGUCGAACGCGUCCCGGUUGAUGAAGUUGAGUGCUUGCACUUGAUUGAUUCAACUUGGUGACGAGUGGCGAACUGGUGAGUAACACGUGGGUAACCUGCCCCGAAGCGGGGGAUAACAUUUGGAAACAGGUGCUAAUACCGCAUAACAACCAAAACCACCUGGUUUUGGUUUGAAAGACGGCUUCGGCUGUCACUUUGGGAUUGACCCGCGGCGUAUUAGCUAGUUGGUGAGGUAACGGCUCACCAAGGCGAUGAUACGUAGCCGACCUGAGAGGGUAAUCGGCCACAUUGGGACUGAGACACGGCCCAAACUCCUACGGGAGGCAGCAGUAGGGAAUCUUCCACAAUGGACGCAAGUCUGAUGGAGCAACGCCGCGUGAGUGAUGAAGGGUUUCGGCUCGUAAAACUCUGUUGUUGGAGAAGAACGGGUGUCAGAGUAACUGUUGACAUCGUGACGGUAUCCAACCAGAAAGCCACGGCUAACUACGUGCCAGCAGCCGCGGUAAUACGUAGGUGGCAAGCGUUGUCCGGAUUUAUUGGGCGUAAAGCGAGCGCAGGCGGUUUUUUAGGUCUGAUGUGAAAGCCUUCGGCUUAACCGGAGAAGUGCAUCGGAAACCGGGAAACUUGAGUGCAGAAGAGGACAGUGGAACUCCAUGUGUAGCGGUGAAAUGCGUAGAUAUAUGGAAGAACACCAGUGGCGAAGGCGGCUGUCUGGUCUGCAACUGACGCUGAGGCUCGAAAGCAUGGGUAGCGAACAGAAUUAGAUACCCUGGUAGUCCAUGCCGUAAACGAUGAGUGCUAAGUGUUGGAGGGUUUCCGCCCUUCAGUGCUGCAGCUAACGCAUUAAGCACUCCGCCUGGGGAGUACGACCGCAAGGUUGAAACUCAAAGGAAUUGACGGGGGCCCGCACAACCGGUGGAGCAUGUGGUUUAAUUCGAUGCUACGCAAAGAACCUUACCAAGUCU